AUGCCCCCACGCGUGACCGUGGCCGCUCCUGCCCCCUGCCCUGCGCCCCCCCCGUGCGCCCCUCGCUGCCCCUGGCACCGCUCGGCACCGCUCCUGCCCCUUGCGGGGGGGUUUCGUGCCCCGUCCCGGCUCCGGGGGCUUGCGGAGGGGGGGAUGUAUGCGUGUGAGGAGGGGGGGGGGGGGCGGCCUCGCAGCGCCCCGCCGGAGCGGGGGGGUGGGGGGCUCGCCCUCUCCCAGCCCCGAAAUGACGCAGCCCCUGCUCCAGCAUCGGCUCCCGUUCGGGCUGGCUCCAUUUCAGGAGCUCCGUCUCCCCCCACCCCCUUCUUCCCAGCCUUCCUCCUUCCUCCUCCUCCUCGCCUCACCGUCACUCUCCCCCCGCCCCGCCGCCCCAAACUCCUUCCUCAGGACCGUGGGAUGCUGGCGAGCCCUGGCGAGAGUUGCCGGUCUCCAUUUCCAAGCGGGGAGCCGCCGGGAGCGGCCCACUCUGUUCUCCAGCCUUAUUACAUGGGGUUUUUGUCUCUCCAAGUCAUUCCUCAGCAUCGCCUUGAAUGGCAUCUACUGCACGUGCUAUGUGACAGAUCCACACAAACAACAGAGGGGAAAGAGCCUCACUUAACUGAUUAG
rnacentral:lncRNA from 1 species